rnacentral:rRNA from 1 species
GAGACAGCCAGGAGGUUGGCUUAGAAGCAGCCAUCCUUGAAAGAGUGCGUAAUAGCUCACUGGUCGAGUGAUUCUGCGCCGAUAAUGUAGCGGGGCUCAAGUACACCGCCGAAGUCGUGUCGCCACAUAUGUUGUGGUGGGUAGGGGAGCGUCGUGUGCCGGGUGAAGCAGCCGUGGAAGCGUGUUGUGGAUGGUUCACGAGUGAGAAUGCAGGCAUGAGUAGCGAUACACACGUGGGAAACGUGUGCGCCGAUU